rnacentral:rRNA from 1 species
AGGAUUCCCCUAGUAACUGCGAGUGAAGCGGGAAGAGCUCAAAUUUCGAAUCUGGCGGUCUUCGGCCGUCCGAGUUGUAAUCUAGAGAAGCGUUUUCCGCGCUGGACCGUGUACAAGUCUCCUGGAAGGGAGCGUCAUAGAGGGUGAGAAUCCCGUCUUUGACACGGACUACCAGUGCUAUGUGAUGCGCUCUCGACGAGUCGAGUUGUUUGGGAAUGCAGCUCAAAAUGGGUGGUAAAUUCCAUCUAAAGCUAAAUACAGGCGAGAGACCGAUAGCGAACAAGUACCGUGAGGGAAAGAUGAAAAGAACUUUGGAAAGAGAGUUAAACAGUACGUGAAAUUGCUGAAAGGGAAACGCUUGAUGUCAGUCGCGUCACCCAGGGAUCAACCUUGCUUCUCGCUGGGUGCACUUCCUGGUCGACGGGUCAGCAUCAGUUUCGGUCGCCGUACAAUGGCGAAGGGAACGUGGCACUCUUCGGAGUGUGUUAUAGCCUUUCGUCGUAUGCGGCGGUCGGGACUGAGGAACUCGGCACGAUCUCGGUCUGUGUCUAGGAUGCUGGCAUAAUGGCCUUAAGCGACCCGUCUUGAAACACGGACCAAGGAGUCUAACAUGCCUGCGAGUGUUUGGGUGCCAAACUCGAGCGCGUAAUGAAAGUGAAAGUCGAGACCUCUGUCGUGGAGGGCAUCGACGCCCGGACCUGAGUCUUUGACGACGGAUCUGCGGUAGAGCAUGUAUGUUGGGACCCGAAAGAUGGUGAACUAUGCCUGAAUAGGGUGAAGCCAGAGGAAACUCUGGUGGAGGCUCGUAGCGAUUCUGACGUGCAAAUCGAUCCGUCCGAAUUUGGGUAUAGGGGCGA